rnacentral:lncRNA from 1 species
GCCACCUCUUCCCUUUGGGUCCAAGAAAGAUGAACCACGGUAGGACGGUACGAGAAAUUCUCCUCCAAAGUUCUCCGGUUUACCUGUUGCCACCAACUGUUUGAUGGUGAAAAGGAAAGGCACACGUUCACCACCAGGAAGCUGUACGGUCACAGCAGCGUAAUCAAUCCCAUCUUUCUCCUCAAACUUGACAGUUCCAUCAGGGGAGACUUCGAAAGGUCCCUCAAUCUCGUCGAGAGUGUAGGUCAAGCGAGUCAUGAGCUUAGUGUUUUGGAACUCAGGUGGAGAAUUCUUGCUUACACCUUCUGCCUUGACAGUGAAUGAAGUGGGCUCUAAGCAGAACUUCUUGGCGGUGUAUUUUCCAGGC